rnacentral:rRNA from 1 species
GAUGGACGCUGGCGGCGUGCCUAAUACAUGCAAGUCGAGCGAACGGACGAGAAGCUUGCUUCUCUGAUGUUAGCGGCGGACGGGUGAGUAACACGUGGAUAACCUACCUAUAAGACUGGGAUAACUUCGGGAAACCGGAGCUAAUACCGGAUGAUAUUUUGAACCGCAUGGUUCAAAAGUGAAAGACGGUCUUGCUGUCACUUAUAGAUGGAUCCGCGCUGCAUUAGCUAGUUGGUAAGGUAACGGCUUACCAAGGCAACGAUGCAUAGCCGACCUGAGAGGGUGAUCGGCCACACUGGAACUGAGACACGGUCCAGACUCCUACGGGAGGCAGCAGUAGGGAAUCUUCCGCAAUGGGCGAAAGCCUGACGGAGCAACGCCGCGUGAGUGAUGAAGGUCUUCGGAUCGUAAAACUCUGUUAUUAGGGAAGAACAUAUGUGUAAGUAAUUGUGCACAUCUUGACGGUACCUAAUCAGAAAGCCACGGCUAACUACGUG